rnacentral:rRNA from 1 species
UGGGGAAUAUUGGACAAUGGGCGCAAGCCUGAUCCAGCAAUGCCGCGUGGAUGAAGAAGGUUUUCGGAUUGUAAAGUCCUUUCGGCGGGGACGAUGAUGACGGUACCCGCAGAAGAAGCCCCGGCUAACUUCGUGCCAGCAGCCGCGGUAAUACGAAGGGGGCUAGCGUUGCUCGGAAUGACUGGGCGUAAAGGGCGCGUAGGCGGAGUGCUUUGUCGGGCGUGAAAUUCCAGGGCUUAACCUUGGGGCUGCGUUCGAGACGGGCAUUCUUGAGUGGGGAAGAGGGUCGUGGAAUUCCCAGUGUAGAGGUGAAAUUCGUAGAUAUUGGGAAGAACACCGGUGGCGAAGGCGGCGACCUGGUCCUUUUACUGACGCUGAGGCGCGAAAGCGUGGGGAGCAAACAGGAUUAGAUACCCUGGUAGUCCACGCUGUAAACGAUGUGCGCUGGAUGUUGGGCGGCUUAGCCGUUCAGUGUCGUAGCUAACGCGGUAAGCGCACCGCCUGGGGAGUACGGCCGCAAGGUUGAAACUC